AUUGCCCUAGUAACGGCGAGUGAAGCGGCAACAGCUCAAAUUUGAAAUCUGGCCCUCGGGUCCGAGUUGUAAUUUGUAGAGGAUGCUUUUGGUGAGGUACCUUCCGAGUUCCCUGGAACGGGACGCCAUAGAGGGUGAGAGCCCCGUCUGGUUGGAUACCGAUCCUCUGUAAAGCUCCUUCGACGAGUCGAGUAGUUUGGGAAUGCUGCUCUAAAUGGGAGGUAUAUGUCUUCUAAAGCUAAAUAUUGGCCAGAGACCGAUAGCGCACAAGUAGAGUGAUCGAAAGAUGAAAAGCACUUUGAAAAGAGAGUUAAAAAGUACGUGAAAUUGUUGAAAGGGAAGCGCUCAUGACCAGACUUGGGCUUGGUUGAUCAUCCAGGGUUCUCCCUGGUGCACUCUUCCAGCUCAGGCCAGCAUCAGUUCGCCGCGGGGGAUAAAGGCUUUGGGAAUGUGGCUCCCCCGGGAGUGUUAUAGCCCACUGCGUAAUACCCUGUAGUGGACUGAGGUUCGCGCAUCUGCAAGGAUGCUGGCAUAAUGGUCAUCAGCGACCCGUCUUGAAACACGGACCAAGGAGUCGUCUUCGUAUGCGAGUGUUCGGGUGUUAAACCCCUACGCGUAAUGAAAGUGAACGCAGGUGAGAGCUUCGGCGCAUCAUCGACCGAUCCUGAUGUUCUCGGAUGGAUUUGAGUAAGAGCAUACGGGGCCGGACCCGAAAGAAGGUGAACUAUGCCUGUAUAGGGUGAAGCCAGAGGAAACUCUGGUGGAGGCUCGCAGCGGUUCUGACGUGCAAAUCGAUCGUCAAAUAUGGGCAUGGGGGCGAAAGACUAAU
rnacentral:rRNA from 1 species